rnacentral:rRNA from 1 species
UACGAAGGGGGCUAGCGUUGCUCGGAAUCACUGGGCGUAAAGCGCACGUAGGCGGAUCUUUAAGUCAGGGGUGAAAUCCUGGAGCUCAACUCCAGAACUGCCUUUGAUACUGAGGAUCUUGAGUCCGGGAGAGGUGAGUGGAACUCCGAGUGUAGAGGUGAAAUUCGUAGAUAUUCGGAAGAACACCAGUGGCGAAGGCGGCACACUGGCCCAUUACUGACGCUGAGGCUCGAAAGCGUGGGGAGCAAACAGG